rnacentral:rRNA from 1 species
CCCUUAGAUGUUCUGGGCCACACGCGCGUUACACUGAUGAAGCCAGCGAGUAUAUCGCCUUCACCGGAAGGUGCGGGUAAUCUUGUGAAACUUCAUCGUGCUGGGGAUAGACCAUUGCAAUUAUUGGUCUUGAACGAGGAAUUCCUAGUAAGCAUGAGUCAUCAGCUCGUGCUGAUUACGUCCCUGCCCUUUGUACACACCGCCCGUCGCUACUACCGAUUGAAUGGUUUAGUGAGAUCUCGGGAUUGGAGACGUUGCGCCGCAAGGCACAUCGUCCUCGAGAACUUGAUCAAACUUGAUCAUUUAGAGGAAGUAAAAGUCGUAACA